AAUGUGUGAUCGUUUAUCUGUAAAUGUUUUCCUUGUUGUCUUUAGUAUCCUAUGUUUUGGCUCCCAUGAACCUAGUUAAUUCUUAGCAACUUUCAAGAUCAAGAUUAGCCAUGGGAAUAGGCAACCAGCUGUUACAUCUUUUUGGUUUAGUAACUUACUGACAUGCAUUUCAAAGUUACAGAUAUUAUAGGUAUUUAAGGAGUUUCAAAGAAAGUAAAUUAUAAAGCAAUUGAAGUUGCUUUUAGAAUGUUAACUUAUUGUAAUAUUAAGGGGAAAGGCCUAGAAAAUUUAAGCCUGUGUUUUAAUUAAAUAAGAAUUGUUGUACUUAGACAACUAUUGAGUUCUUGUUAAUAGACAGAAAUAUUCCACAGAUAAUCCUGAUAAGAUUUGAUGAUCUUUCACAGAUAACACUUUAAUUACCUUGGAUAAAACAAUAAAUAUAUUUUAAAGUUGGAAACUUUAUAUUAUACUGUGAAGUGUAUGUUUGAUGAUUGCAUCAAGCAAAAAAGUAUUUGUGGGAAAUAGUUUUUGUAAGAAAAGGCUUUCAUUAAUUUGCAGAAUGUGUUGAAAUUAAUGAAAUCCAUCUUCCACAGUUAAUGUUGGAGAAGAUUGUCCAGUGUUUGAUGGACUCUUUGAGUUUUGUCAGCUCUCAACUGGCGGUUCAGUUGCUGGAGCUGUGAAGUUAAACCGACAACAGACUGAUAUGGCUGUUAAUUGGGCUGGAGGAUUACAUCAUGCUAAGAAAUCAGAAGCAUCAGGAUUCUGUUACGUUAAUGAUAUUGUGCUUGCCAUCCUUGAAUUACUAAAGUAUCAUCAGAGAGUCUUA
rnacentral:lncRNA from 1 species